GACGAACGCUGGCGGCGUGCUUAACACAUGCAAGUCGAGCGGUAAGGCCCUUUCGGGGGUACACGAGCGGCGAACGGGUGAGUAACACGUGGGUGACCUGCCCUCAGCUCUGGGAGUAAGCCUGGGAAACCGGGUCUAAUACCGGAUAUGACUCCAUGACGCAUGGUUGUAGGGGUGGAAAGCCUUGUGCGGCUGAGGAUGGGCCCGCGGCCUAUCAGCUUGUUGGUGGGGUGAUGGCCUACCAAGGCGACGACGGGUAGCCGGCCUGAGAGGGCGACCGGCCACACUGGGACUGAGACACGGCCCAGACUCCUACGGGAGGCGAGCAGUGGGGAAUCUUGCGCAAUGGGCGAAAGCCUGACGCAGGCGAACGCCGCGUGAGGGAUGACGGCCUGGUUGGUAACU
rnacentral:rRNA from 1 species